rnacentral:rRNA from 1 species
CCUACGGGUGGCAGCAGUGAGGAAUAUUGGUCAAUGGACGAGAGUCUGAACCAGCGAAGUAGCGUGAAGGAUGACUGACCUAGUGGUUGUAAACUUCUUUUAUAAAGGAAUAAAACGAGGCACGUGUUCCUUUUGGCACGUACUUUAUGAAUAAGGAUCGGCUAACUCCGUGCCAGCAGCCGCGGUAAUACGGAGGAUCCGAGCGUUAUCCGGAUUUAGUGGGUUUAAAGGGAGCGUAGAUGGGUUGUUAAGUCAGUUGUGAAAGUUUGCGGCUCAACCGUAAAAUUGCAAUUGAUACUGGCAGUCUUGAGUACAGUUGAGGUAGGCGGAAUUCGUGGUGUAGCGGUGAAAUGCUUAGAUAUCACGAAGAACCCCGAUUGCGAAGGCAGCUUACUAAACUGUGACUGACAUUGAUGCUCGAAAGUGUGGGUAUCAAACAGGAUUAGAUACCCUUGUAGUC